rnacentral:rRNA from 1 species
AUGUGUGGAAUGGGAUUCCGUGAUCUCCAUGCUUUUAAUCUUGUCAGGCUAGCAAAACAAAGUUGGAGAUGAAUCUAAAAUCCUGAGACUUUGUGCGCUCAUGUCCUUCGAGCAAAAUGCUUUUUGGAUGGGAACUUAUUGAAAGAGGGAAUAAAGAAAGGUUUUUCUUUCACUUGGCAGAGCAUUGUGGUUGUUCACAAACGUUUUGAAUGUACGUGCACAUAUUUGGAGAGUGGGCUCAGGAAAUAA